UACGGGGGGUGCGAGCGUUUGUCCGGAAUCACUGGGCGUAAAGGGCGCGUAGGUGGUUUGAUAAGGGUGUGGUGAAAGUCCGGAGCUCAACUCCGGAUCUGCCGUGCCGACUGUCAAACUCGAGGGCUGUAGAGGCAGACGGAAUUCCGGGUGUAGCGGUGGAAUGCGUAGAGAUCCGGAGGAAGACCGGUGGCGAAGGCGGUCUGCUGGGCAGUUUCUGACACUGAGGCGCGACAGCGUGGGGAGCAAACAGG
rnacentral:rRNA from 1 species